UUCUUCGCGCACGCCCGCCAUUCCUCCGCGCACGCGCCAUUCCUCCGCGCACGCGCCAUUCCUCCUAGCUAGCACCUCCUCUCCAAGCUCCCAUUGCCCCCUCUAGUUGCACCACGCCUGUGCACGAGCGCCUUAGAAAUGGUAGGCCUCCUGCCUUGUCUUCUUCCAAACUCUUUCCGUGCAGUGGCCGAUCUGGCGCAGUUCACCAUCGCAUUCCAGGAAGACCCCGCCUCACGGGAGGCCUUGACCUUCACAGGAUCGCGGCACACACGUGCGUAGACCCAGCGACCUUGGAGUUCCUGCGUGUCUUCCCCAUGUCUGCAGUCGGAGGGCGUGGCUGCUGUGGCCUCCUUGGACUCCUAGCUGCAUUUCCUUGACCCCCAGGGAUAUGGAGUCCUUCUCUCUAUGCUGAGGCCUGGAAAUUCUCUCCGGUACUAAGAAGAUAUUAGAACUGGUCAGGAUAAAACAAUGGAGCCUUUCUGUGCUGGAUUAAGUUUUCUAUGGCUGCCGUAACAAAUGAACACAAGCUGGAUGGUUUAAAACAACAGAAAUUGGCCAAGGAAUGCAGCCCGAUGGGGUCUCUACCUGGCCAGCGCCAUGACACCUGCACACAAGAUGACAAAGAGAAGGGAGGAGGAACCUCCAUAUUGGAUGUACCUGGCUUCCAGGUAUCCCUUUUCUAUUGGCACAGCUGCUGCAUUCACCUGUGCAAGCUUCCAGCUUGCUUAUCUAUGCUUGCAGCUUGAUUUUUCAGGCUGAUUUUUGUUAGAAAUGUUUUGGGGGCUGCUUUUUUAUUAAAAGAAAAUUCCACCAAGAACUCUUUUACCCUUACUAACUGCCUAAAUAAUUUCUUUUUUAACUCCUCUAUCACUGGCUGCAAAAUUUGCAGCUUUGGCAGAUUAAAUGUGUUACCUACAUCCUCCCAACAGUGGGGCUCCAGCCCAGAGACUCGAAAUCCACCCUGAGUACCAGCAGGAUAUAGGUCACACAUCUGAGAUGAGCUCUUAGCACAGCCCCCAUGGUUGCCUCAGGCUUUUGUUAUGUAGUUUCAGAGGUUCCUGUGGAAGGUUCAAACCACAAGGACUAAAUGAAAGAUUAUAUGUUUUUAUCACAAAGUCUGGCACAUAGUAAGCACCUCAUACAUGAUACCUUUGUCCAUAUUAUGACUUACCUAAAAAGAAAAAAAAAUCAAGUAAAUUUAAGAAGACAACUGUUGUCUUCAUUCCCUCGACCUCGCAUAGUUCUGUGACAUGGAAAGAGAAACUCUCCUGGUGAGAAAAGUCCUCUGAGUGCCUGUUUCAGGAAUGCAAAUAAAAAGGAACCAAGCAGGCGCUGAUUCCCCAGUGUCCUCACCAGCAUCCUUGUGGUGCUGUGUGAACGCCAUCAGCCCUGCUGUUCUCUGCAUCUCUCCAAGUAGACCCUGCAAAGGCUGGUGAGGGACACAGGCUCAGCCCAUCUCAUGUAUCAGCUGGUCUGGACCCUGCACAUCCUAACAUGGUGCUCAGCAGUUUCUGGCUGUUUGGGAACCACUGCUCAGCAUGGGCAGUGUCCCCUCCUAUAGAUGUCACCCCAUAACACCCUCCCUUUCAGACUGGAGUGGAAAUGUUCCCUAUCAGACAGAAAGAUCCCGAAACAAGACCGCUUCUGAGGUUAAGUAGCAAAAUGAAAGUGAGAUUCCCAAACAGAUUUCUUUUUCUGAGACAAAGACCCAUUAUCAGCUCAUUUUGAGAAGAUGCUGUGUGUUUUGAACACCUAUGGGGACUGAAUACAUGUUCAAAUGAUGACUAUUUGUAAGCUUUUAUAUAUUCAUUACAAUUUUCCCCAACUUUUAUUUUGAAAACUUUAAACCUUUAGAAAAAUUUAAUGCCCAGACAACCUUCAUCUAGAAUCACUAUUAAUGCUUCACCACGUUUGCUUUCUCUCUCUGUCUCUCUCUCUCCACACACACAAGUGCACUUUAACAGCUCUGACAUUUAGAUGUGUCUUACAGUUGAUAAUGAGGCAUAGCUAAGUGACACUUUCCUUUUUUCCCCAGUGGUUCAAAUAUUAACAGUGAAUCUUACAAUUGAUGGCAUCUUAGAUUCAAUAGACAACAGAACUGGAAACUGCUCAGUAUAAUGUCUGGCUUAUUGUCAAUGCUACACAAAUGCCAGCUAUCAUUACUAUAUUAAUAUAAUGGUGAAUUUGUCUAAUUCUUCUUAUAAUUUUGUCCAUUUUGAUCUAUUUCAGAGCUGUGUUGUUAAGUGCCUAUACAUUUACAACUGCUUCACCUUCCUGGUGAACUGAAACUUUUUUCUUUUUUUUUUUUUUGAGACGGAGUCUUACUCUGUCACUCAGGCUGGAGUGCAAUGGUGCGAUCUUGGCUCACGGCAACCUCUGUCU